rnacentral:rRNA from 1 species
CCUACGGGGGGCUGCAGUGGGGAAUAUUGGACAAUGGGGGCAACCCUGAUCCAGCCAUGCCGCGUGUGUGAAGAAGGCCCUCGGGUUGUAAAGCACUUUCAGUGAGGAAGAACGCCUGGUGGUUAAUACCCAUCAGGAAAGACAUCACUCACAGAAGAAGCACCGGCUAACUCCGUGCCAGCAGCCGCGGUAAUACGGAGGGUGCGAGCGUUAAUCGGAAUUACUGGGCGUAAAGCGCGCGUAGGUGGCUUGAUAAGCCGGUUGUGAAAGCCCCGGGCUCAACCUGGGAACGGCAUCCGGAACUGUCAAGCUAGAGUGCAGGAGAGGAAGGUAGAAUUCCCGGUGUAGCGGUGAAAUGCGUAGAGAUCGGGAGGAAUACCAGUGGCGAAGGCGGCCUUAUGGACUGACACUGACACUGAGGUGCGAAAGCGUGGGUAGCAAACAGGAUUAGAUACCCGUGUAGUC